rnacentral:rRNA from 1 species
UAGUCAUAUGCUUGUCUCAAAGACUAAGCCAUGCAUGUCUAAGUAUAAGCGAUUUAUAGUGAAACUGCGAAUGGCUCAUUAAAACAGUUAUAGUUUAUUUGAUAAUCGAAUUUUACAUGGAUAACCGUGGUAAUUCUAGAGCUAAUACAUGCUGUUAAGCCUGACUUUUUGGAAGGGCUGUAUUUAUUAGAUACAAACCAAUAUUCCUUCGGGUCUAUUGUGAUGAUUCAAUAUAACUGAUCGAAUCGCAUGGUCUUGCACCGCGAUAAAUCAUUCAAGUUUCUGCCCCAUCAGCUUUCGAUGGUAGUGUAUUGGACUACCAUGGCUUUCACGGGUAACGGAGGAUUAGGGUUCGAUUCCGGAGAGGGAGCCUGAGAAACGGCUACCACAUCUAAGGAAGGCAGCAGGCGCGUAAAUUACCCAAUCCUGACUCAGGGAGGUAGUGACAAGAAAUAACAGGCCGGAGCCUACGGUUCCGGGAUUGCAAUGAGUACAAUUUAGACUCCUUAACAAGUAACAAUU